AAUAGGAGAAUGACAAAUCAGAUUUUUUCUCCUCAUUUUCAGCUUUUUCCUUUUGAAAAACUCAAAUCCAACUAAAAAUGCUAUAAAUAAGGAGGAAAAAUCUAAUUUGUAAUUCUCCUAUU
rfam:Gossypium raimondii Chr13_contig_1083, whole genome shotgun sequence.